UGAGGAAUAUUGGACAAUGGGGGCAACCCUGAUCCAGCCAUGCCGCGUGCAGGAAGACGGCCCUAUGGGUUGUAAACUGCUUUUAUACAGGAAGAAACAGCUCUACGUGUAGAGCCUUGACGGUACUGUAAGAAUAAGGACCGGCUAACUCCGUGCCAGCAGCCGCGGUAAUACGGAGGGUCCGAGCGUUAUCCGGAAUCAUUGGGUUUAAAGGGUCCGUAGGCGGGCUAUUAAGUCAGAGGUGAAAGUUUGCGGCUCAACCGUAAAAUUGCCUUUGAUACUGGUAGUCUUGAAUUAAUAUGAAGUGGUUGGAAUGUGUAGUGUAGCGGUGAAAUGCAUAGAUAUUACAC
rnacentral:rRNA from 1 species